rnacentral:rRNA from 1 species
AACGAACGCUGGCGGCAGGCCUAACACAUGCAAGUCGAACGCUCUUUUCGGAGAGAGUGGCGCACGGGUGAGUAACGCGUGGGAAUCUGCCCUUUGGUUCGGAAUAACCCUGGGAAACUAGGGCUAACACCGGAUGAGCCCCGAGUUCCGCGAGGGAGUUGGGGAAAGUUUACGCCGAAGGAGGAGCCCGCGUCCGAUUAGCUAGUUGGUGAGGUAAGAGCUCACCAAGGCUUCGAUCGGUAGCNGGUCUGAGAGGACGAUCAGCCACACUGGGACUGAGACACGGCCCAGACUCCUACGGGAGGCAGCAGUGGGGAAUAUUGGACAAUGGGCGCAAGCCUGAUCCAGCCAUGCCGCGUGAGUGAUGAAGGCCUUCGGUUGUAA